rnacentral:rRNA from 1 species
CCUACGGGGGGCUGUAGUGGGGAAUAUUGGACAAUGGGGGGAACCCUGAUCCAGCCAUGCCGCGUGUGUGAAGAAGGCCCUCGGGUUGUAAAGCACUUUCAGUGAGGAAGAACGCCUGGUGGUUAAUACCCAUCAGGAAAGACAUCACUCACAGAAGAAGCACCGGCUAACUCCGUGCCAGCAGCCGCGGUAAUACGGAGGGUGCGAGCGUUAAUCGGAAUUACUGGGCGUAAAGCGCGCGUAGGUGGCUUGAUAAGCCGGGUGUGAAAGCCCCGGGCUCAACCUGGGAACGGCAUCCGGAACUGUCAAGCUAGAGUGCAGGAGAGGAAGGUAGAAUUCCCGGUGUAGCGGUGAAAUGCGUAGAGAUCGGGAGGAAUACCAGUGGCGAAGGCGGCCUUCUGGACUGACACUGACACUGAGGUGCGAAAGCGUGGGUAGCAAACAGGAUUAGAUACCCUAGUAGUC